UACGAAGGGGCUAGCGUUGCUCGGAAUCACUGGGCGUAAAGGGUGCGUAGGCGGGUCUUUAAGUCAGAGGUGAAAUCCUGGAGCUCAACUCCAGAACUGCCUUUGAUACUGAGGAUCUUGAGUUCGGGAGAGGUGAGUGGAACUGCGAGUGUAGAGGUGAAAUUCGUAGAUAUUCGCAAGAACACCAGUGGCGAAGGCGGCCAUCUGGACGGAGUACUGACGCUGAGGCACGAAAGCGUGGGGAGCAAACAGGG
rnacentral:rRNA from 1 species